rnacentral:rRNA from 1 species
UACGGAGGGGGCUAGCGUUGUUCGGAAUUACUGGGCGUAAAGCGCACGUAGGCGGCUUUGUAAGUCAGAGGUGAAAGCCUGGAGCUCAACUCCAGAACUGCCUUUGAGACUGCAUCGCUUGAAUCCAGGAGAGGUCAGUGGAAUUCCGAGUGUAGAGGUGAAAUUCGUAGAUAUUCGGAAGAACACCAGUGGCGAAGGCGGCUGACUGGCCCGAUACUGACGCUGAUGCGCGAAAGCGUGGGGAGCAAACAGG